rnacentral:lncRNA from 1 species
GAAUUUUUAAACAUUAGUUACUAUCCUUUAGAAUUAAAACCAAAUUUUGAUGAUAAUAGUAACAGAUAUAUAGAUCGUAUCGUCAUUUUAUAUCCGUAACUAGAACUCGAGUUAAGGGGAGUAAUCAACAUUGAAAGCAACAUUGAACUAAAUGGACUUGACUUAAUUGAUAUUGACCCAAGAAGAGUUAAUAUAUGAAAUAGUUCAAUGUGGCUCUUUCUUAGUCACAAUAAAAAACUAACUUGGUCAUAAAAAAAAAAAAAAAAAAAAAACUUAUUGUUUGACAUUUACAAACACUAUAUUUAGAUGUAUAACAGGAAAGGUUUGGCGGAUGUAAACAGAGUUAUAUCAAAGAUUGAAGAGAGAAAACGACAGAUCACCAAAGUAGGGACUGUGACACGAAGAAGGGAAUCAAUACUUAGUGUUUUGGGUUAUUCAUGGGGUUUGUCCUUUUUCUCUUGUAAUUUACUUUUUUUUUCUUUCUUCUUCAUCAGUUAUUCUUAAUUCUUGAGGAUUAAAAAUGUGAAAGUCCAUUCAUAACAAAUCAUGGACAUGUCUUAUGCAAUAAUGGACUUAGAUAACAGUAAGUUGGGUGGAAUUUUUU